GGGAAAUGUCAGGAAAUGAUUUCAGGGGGCAAAUAGUGUGCAUGAAUUGCGUAUGCAGGAGUGACCCUGACUUUUUGGAACUACAUGUCUCUGGACUUGGAAGAGCACCAGGUGUGUCACCCAGUCCAUCUUGAACCCUAGGAAGGGCUGACUACACUGUGGCCCCAAACUACGGGGGGCAAGCUUAAUUCCACCUUGGCCUGCCAUUAGUGAGUCCUUAUUCAGUACCAGGGAUAAAGGGGGAGAUUCCAGGUAAGACAGGCAAGUAAGGGGAGAGUUUUUUAUUCAUGCAUUGGAUUUAAGUGAUGUCAGUUUUAGGGGCUGCCUGCAGUUUUCGCUGAGUUUAUUCUAACAGGAAAUACUACUUCUCAUUACUAUUCAUAUAAGACUUUGCCAAAUGCUUACUAUAUGGAUAUUAUUGUCAUCCCCACUUUCCAAAUGUGGAAACUGAGACUUGGAGAGGUUGAGUGAUGUGCCCAAGUCAACCCCACACAGGAAGGAGUUGGCUCUGUCCCUCAAACCCACGUCUUUGACCCUGGCUCUCUACCUGUCUUGCUACAGCCCAUGCAUCCCUAAGGAAUGUGGACAGUAAAAUUUCUCCAAACACGACCAGAGUAGACAGCAUGAUUGUUUUUGCUUCAAGAGGGGCAAAGAGAGUGAUGUUUCCUGGAUCACCUGUACAGUCAGCAGUACCUGGCCGCCCAUUGCGGGAGAGGGGGUAAAGGCCCUUAAAGCUCUGCCCAAAUGUGAGCGUGGGCCUGGUUUUUACUUCUCUUCCUGUUGGCUUCCGCAUCUACCCGCCUGUGGCCUAGUGGUAGGACUAGGGGAACAGGGUGUGCUGAGUGCUAAGCAUGUGUCCAGUGUGUAGUGGGACUCAGAACACUGUAGCUGUCAUUACUCUUUUCUACAGAGUGGGCCUCUGCCUGGAAUUACAAGGCGGGCACUGACAGAUGUAUAAGUAGAUGCUCAAGAGCAAAUUAAAAAUGCAUUGUUAAAAAUGUAUCCAAUGUGUGAACAAAGAUUGGCAUGAAGGUUGGGGCCCUGUAUUUUUAGAGGCUAA
rnacentral:lncRNA from 1 species